GAUGAACGCUGGCGGCGUGCCUAAUACAUGCAAGUCGAGCGAACGGACGAGAAGCUUGCUUCUCUGAUGUUAGCGGCGGACGGGUGAGUAACACGUGGAUAACCUGCCUAUAAGACUGGGAUAACUUCGGGAAACCGUAGCUAAUACCGGAUAAUAUUUUGAACCGCAUGGUUCAAAAGUGAAAGACGGUCUUGCUGUCACUUAUAGAUGGAUCCGCGCUGCAUUAGCUAGUUGGUAAGGUAACGGCUUGCCAAGGCAACGAUGCAUAGCCGACCUGAGAGGGUGAUCGGCCACACUGGAACUGAGACACGGUCCAGACUCCUACGGGAGGCAGCAGUAGGGAAUCUUCCGCAAUGGGCGAAAGCCUGACGGAGCAACGCCGCGUGAGUGAUGAAGGUCUUCGGAUCGUAAAACUCUGUUAUUAGGGAAGAACAUAUGUGUAAGUAACUGUGCACAUCUUGACGGUACCUAAUCAGAAAGCCACGGCUAACUACGUG
rnacentral:rRNA from 1 species